rnacentral:rRNA from 1 species
AGCCCGUUAAUGGGUGAUGGCGUGCCUUUUGUAGAAUGAACCGGCGAGUUACGAUUUGAUGCAAGGUUAAGCAGUAAAUGUGGAGCCGUAGCGAAAGCGAGUCUGAAUAGGGCGUUUAGUAUUUGGUCGUAGACCCGAAACCAGGUGAUCUACCCUUGGUCAGGUUGAAGUUCAGGUAACACUGAAUGGAGGACCGAACCGACUUACGUUGAAAAGUGAGCGGAUGAACUGAGGGUAGCGGAGAAAUUCCAAUCGAACCUGGAGAUAGCUGGUUCUCUCCGAAAUAGCUUUAGGGCUAGCCUCAAGUGAUGAUUAUUGGAGGUAGAGCACUGUUUGGACGAGGGGCCCCUCUCGGGUUACCGAAUUCAGACAAACUCCGAAUGCCAAUUAAUUUAACUUGGGAGUCAGAACAUGGGUGAUAAGGUCCGUGUUCGAAAGGGAAACAGCCCAGACCACCAGCUAAGGUCCCAAAAUAUAUGUUAAGUGGAAAAGGAUGUGGCGUUGCCCAGACAACUAGGAUGUUGGCUUAGAAGCAGCCAUCAUUUAAAGAGUGCGUAAUAGCUCACUAGUCGAGUGACACUGCGCCGAAAAUGUACCGGGGCUAAACAUAUUACCGAAGCUGUGGAUUGUCCUUUGGACAAUGGUAGGAGAGCGUUCUAAGGGCGUUGAAGCAUGAUCGUAAGGACAUGUGGAGCGCUUAGAAGUGAGAAUGCCGGUGUGAGUAGCGAAAGACGGGUGAGAAUCCCGUCCACCGAUUGACUAAGGUUUCCAGAGGAAGGCUCGUCCGCUCUGGGUUAGUCGGGUCCUAAGCUGAGGCCGACAGGCGUAGGCGAUGGAUAACAGGUUGAUAUUCCUGUACCACCUAUAAUCGUUUUAAUCGAUGGGGGGACGCAGUAGGAUAGGCGAAGCGUGCGAUUGGAUUGCACGUCUAAGCAGUAAGGCUGAGUAUUAGGCAAAUCCGGUACUCGUUAAGGCUGAGC